ACUGCCAACUGCCCCAGAGCACGGGCGAGAGCGCGGCAUAUAGGGCAAAGGCAGAGCUCACCGCUUCAGCGAGUCCAAAACCUGCGGUGCCCCGGCAGUCGCGGAAUCCGGGCUCUGCGCGGCAGCCUGGGCUGCCGCCGGGGUGGUAUUCCCGGCAGGAACGCCGUCCCGGGGCAUCGCAGACGGCGCGCGCGGCUCUCUACGCGCCUCACACGCCUUGCACGCCGCCGCUUGAGCCUCAAGGCGCAGGACUCCGUGCGGCGGGACCCGCCCACCCCCGAGGCCAGCCAAUGGACGCGGAGCGCGGGAAGCCGGGGGCGGGGCCCAGCUCCUCCCCUGCAGCCGAGCAACGCAGCAGGCUCCGCGGUCCUGCGCUCGCGCCCGCCCCACCAGGAGCGGUCUGGGAUUGGGGGAGCACAUUCCUCAAAUAGAAGAACACCUAUUUAGGGCCAGCCACAGUGCUUGGGGACACAUGGAAAUAGGAAAAAGCUUCCACUUAGAGGAUCUCCCAGUCAUUCCGGUGGAUGAGCAGAUAUGAAAACAGCUUAUAUACUUUGAUGAAUCAAGCUGUCAUUUAGAGAGCCUCGUGGGAAGGACUGAGAGAGGUGUCUAGCCAACAGCCACUGGGCAACUGAAUCCUACCAACAACCAUGUAAAUGGGCUGGGAAGCAAAUCUUUCUCAGGCUUGAGAUGACCACAGCCCCGGUCGGCACCUUGAUUAUAGCCUGUGAGUCCCUGAAGCAGAACCAGCUAAGUCAGCCCAGAUUCCCAACCCACAGAAACUCUGAGGUAAUAAAUGUUUAAAGCCA